CCGGGAGGCCUAGCAGCCGCAAGCCCUGCCGGGACACCAGGAUCUGAGCUGUCCAGGGAGGGCGCCCUGCUGCCCGGCCCACUCGGCUGGCCUCUCCCUCCACUCUGGUCACCUCGAUUCCUGUGCUGCCCCAGCCGCCCCACUUUCUCUUGACCAAAAAGAAGGCCGAGAAUACAGGAGAGAGUGUCAGGCUGUCUGGAAGGAUGGAGGCCAUCAGUGUGGAGGGGCAGGAGGCCGUUCUGUUGGGCCUCAGUGACCUAUUUUCUUCCCCCCACACCGAGGCGCAGUGGACAGCCCAUGAUAACCCGCCCCCGGAGCCGCUUCUCCUCUGUGCUAGCCCAUAAUGCCGCAGCCAUAUUGGUUAUGAAUAAGCCCCGAAGACCUUAGUAGGAGUUCAUUCACCAGCCGUUACUCAGAACGCCAGGGACCCUGGAUCCCAAGUGCUUUGCCACGUCCCUUCCUCCAAUCUGGUGGGAAAUGUGAAAUCCUUAACUGACUGAAGGCACGGCCAGAGAAAGUUGCUAGACAGCCUUUUAUAACGAUGCUUAUGUGCCGCAGUCUGGCUGGGCACAAUCAGGAGCCACUUGUCAAAAGAAACUAACUUUAUUUUUAGAACCACACACGCCAAACAAAACAGCCUCUCAGGAAAAACCCUCAGAGCCUCAACUGCCACCACCGGCUUUCCACAAGCCUCUCUCUCCCACACCAGCUUCUCCCCACCUCCCACAAUCCUCCUGCUCUUGAGGCCGAUUGGCUGGGUCACAUGGGUGGAGCCAAAAAAGUCCCCCAAUGAGCAGCUCCGUGGUCUGAAAGGGCAGGGAAACAGCCCAAUGAGCAUCACCGCAGAGGAGCCAAUCAGCUAGAUGUUGCUGGGGCCGCUGUGAGCCAAUCAUCAGCCAGCAGCUGGAAGUUUGCUGGCAGCUGGAAGUUUGCUGGGGCCCCUUUGGCCGUGGCUCUCAACACUUAUGUGCUCAAGACGAUGGUCAGAGAACGUCCACGUCCCCUCCCCUGCAAGGGACCACGUGACAACCAACGAAAUGGGCAGGAGGAUCCCAAGGUAGAGGCCAGCCUCCGCCACUUGCUGCUGUUUCACACCCUUCAAUAGACCAGCGGCCUCCCGCACCGCCAAGGCAUCGUCUGAUGGUCAGGCUUAUUGUGACACUCAGGAGCUGCUUCUGUCUGCUCGGAUCAGGGACAUUGUCCCUUUCAUUAGCACAGUGGCUCCUCCACCACCAGCAAGACCAGGAAACAUCCUCACCUGAGAACAAGCCACGUUCGCCUGGGGUAGGUGCCUCGCUCUACCAUGUAUUAUUUCUCCUUUUACCCACUCGCUCCAAACAGGAUGGAGUCUGAGAGACUUAUCGACCAUCCACAGUAAGAUAGAAAGGAACGGAAGAAACCCACCACACACCAGGC
rnacentral:lncRNA from 1 species